rnacentral:rRNA from 1 species
GACGAACGCUGGCGGCGUGCUUAACACAUGCAAGUCGAACGGAAAGGCCCUGCUUUUGUGGGGUGCUCGAGUGGCGAACGGGUGAGUAACACGUGAGUAACCUGCCCUUGACUUUGGGAUAACUUCAGGAAACUGGGGCUAAUACCGGAUAGGAGCUCCUGCUGCAUGGUGGGGGUUGGAAAGUUUCGGCGGUUGGGGAUGGACUCGCGGCUUAUCAGCUUGUUGGUGGGGUAGUGGCUUACCAAGGCUUUGACGGGUAGCCGGCCUGAGAGGGUGACCGGCCAAAUUGGGACUGAGAUACGGCCCAGACUCCUACGGGAGGCAGCAGUGGGGAAUAUUGCACAAUGGGCGGAAGCCUGAUGCAGAAACGCCGCGUGCGGGAUGACGGCCUUCGGGUUGUAAACCGCUUUCGCCUGUGACGAAGCGUGAGUGACGGUAAUGGGUAAAGAAGCACCGGCUAACUACGU